rnacentral:rRNA from 1 species
UUGAACGCUGGCGGCAGGCCUAACACAUGCAAGUCGAACGGUAACAGAAAGCAGCUUGCUGCUUUGCUGACGAGUGGCGGACGGGUGAGUAAUGUCUGGGAAACUGCCCGAUGGAGGGGGAUAACUACUGGAAACGGUAGCUAAUACCGCAUAACGUCGCAAGACCAAAGAGGGGGACCUUCGGGCCUCUUGCCAUCGGAUGUGCCCAGAUGGGAUUAGCUAGUAGGUGGGGUAAAGGCUCACCUAGGCGACGAUCCCUAGCUGGUCUGAGAGGAUGACCAGCCACACUGGAACUGAGACACGGUCCAGACUCCUACGGGAGGCAGCAGUGGGGAAUAUUGCACAAUGGGCGCAAGCCUGAUGCAGCCAUGCCGCGUGUAUGAAGAAGGCCUUCGGGUUGUAAAGUACUUUCAGCGGGGAGGAAGGGAGUAAAGUUAAUACCUUUGCUCAUUGACGUUACCCGCAGAAGAAGCACCGGCUAACUCCGUGCCAGCAGCCGCGGUAAUACGGAGGGUGCAAGCGUUAAUCGGAAUUACUGGGCGUAAAGCGCACGCAGGCGGUUUGUUAAGUCAGAUGUGAAAUCCCCGGGCUCAACCUGGGAACUGCAUCUGAUACUGGCAAGCUUGAGUCUCGUAGAGGGGGGUAGAAUUCCAGGUGUAGCGGUGAAAUGCGUAGAGAUCUGGAGGAAUACCGGUGGCGAAGGCGGCCCCCUGGACGAAGACUGACGCUCAGGUGCGAAAGCGUGGGGAGCAAACAGGAUUAGAUGCCCUGGUAGUCCACGCCGUAAACGAUGUCGACUUGGAGGUUGUGCCCUUGAGGCGUGGCUUCCGGAGCUAACGCGUUAAGUCGACCGCCUGGGGAGUACGGCCGCAAGGUUAAAACUCAAAUGAAUUGACGGGGGCCCGCACAAGCGGUGGAGCAUGUGGUUUAAUUCGAUGCAACGCGAAGAACCUUACCUGGUCUUGACAUCCACGGAAGUUUUCAGAGAUGAGAAUGUGCCUUCGGGAACCGUGAGACAGGUGCUGCAUGGCUGUCGUCAGCUCGUGUUGUGAAAUGUUGGGUUAAGUCCCGCAACGAGCGCAACCCUUAUCCUUUGUUGCCAGCGGUCCGGCCGGGAACUCAAAGGAGACUGCCAGUGAUAAACUGGAGGAAGGUGGGGAUGACGUCAAGUCAUCAUGGCCCUUACGACCAGGGCUACACACGUGCUACAAUGGCGCAUACAAAGAGAAGCGACCUCGCGAGAGCAAGCGGACCUCAUAAAGUGCGUCGUAGUCCGGAUUGGAGUCUGCAACUCGACUCCAUGAAGUCGGAAUCGCUAGUAAUCGUGGAUCAGAAUGCCACGGUGAAUACGUUCCCGGGCCUUGUACACACCGCCCGUCACACCAUGGGAGUGGGUUGCAAAAGAAGUAGGUAGCUUAACCUUCGGGAGGGCGCUUACCACUUUGUGAUUCAUGACUGGGGUG